UGGGAAUAUUGGGCAAUGGGCGAAAGCCUGACCCAGCAACGCCGCGUGAAGGAAGAAGGUUUUCGGAUUGUAAACUUCUGUCCUAAGUGACGAAGGAAGUGACGGUAGCUUAGGAGGAAGCCCCGGCUAACUACGUGCCAGCAGCCGCGGUAAUACGUAGGGGCGAGCGUUGUCCGGAAUGACUGGGCGUAAAGGGCGUGUAGGCGGCUUUUAAGUCUGAAGUGAAAGUCCUGCUUUCAAGGUGGGAAUUGCUUUGGAGACUGGAAGGCUUGAGUGCGGAAGAGGUAAGUGGAAUUCCCAGUGUAGCGGUGAAAUGCGUAGAGAUUGGGAGGAACACCAGUGGCGAAGGCGACUUACUGGGCCGUAACUGACGCUGAGGC
rnacentral:rRNA from 1 species